UUCAGAGCACCCUCUUUCAGCUCUCUCUCUCUCUCGGACAUGACAUUAAUGUGUACAUAUGAACACAUCUUAAGGUUAAAGCCAUUUAUGGAUAAAUCAGAGUAAAUUCUUUUAUAAUGUAUAGUUAUUAUUUUCAGAUUCCUGCCAUGGAGAACACCACCACAUUGUCCUGCAGAAACAUUUCUGAUGGUGAUGGUUACACUUACAAAGUGCCGUCUUAUAUACCAUCUGCUCUACUGCAGGACGAGGACUGUGAGCAAGAGUGGAAAAAUAAGGCAGGGGAGUUUUUGUCAGAUGGACAUCAUCAUGCAAAUAAAACUGAGCACCCACUGGUUCGUAAUGAAACCAUAAAAAACAUCAAAGUCUCUGAAUGCAUCGAGCUUCACCAUUCUGUGACCUGUCAUGGAUCGAGUCAAAAGUUUAUACACACUUACCAAGUGAUCAAUGACACCGCCCUGAGUUUUGAGCAGCAAUGUAUAACAAGAACAAGAGAAGCUGUGUCAAAAGUAGUCAUAUCAAUGAAGAAGCUCAACCAGCCCAAGCCAUGGAAUACUUCUGCCAGAGGGAACACCAGCACAUUGUCCUGCAGAAACAUUUCUGCUGGUGAUGGUUACAAGUACCCAGUGCUGUCUUAUAUACCAUCUGCUGUACUGUGGAACAAGGACUGUGAGCAAGAGUGGUACAAUGAGGCAGGUGAGUUUUUGUCAGAUGGACAUCAUGCAAAUAAAACUAGGCACCGACUGGUUGUUGAGGAAAGCAGUGAACACAUCACACUCUCUAAAUGCGUCAAGCUUCACUAUUAUGUGACCUGUCAUGGAUCGAGUCAAAAGUUUAAACACACUUACCAAGUGAUCAAUGACACCACCCUGAGUUUUGAGCAGCAAUCCGAUAGCAGCAGCACCACCAACACCACCAUCAUCUCUGUCGUCAUUCCCCUGAUUGUAGGCCUGCACUACAUUUUUAAAAAAAAAAAAAAAAAAAAAAAAAAAGUGGUGAAGUGCUGAGCAGCCAGAGCACUCCAAGAGCAUAUGAAGAUUAAGUUUCUCCAUCCAGUUUGAUUCUGCCUUUUCUAUAAUCGUACUUGUAUAUCUGCUUUUGUACUUUCACUAUAUUUUUCUUGCAUUUUGAACAUUUUUAAAAUGUUAAAAUACUAAAUAGGUAAACAGACCUUGGAAUUAUAGGAUUCUUACCACAAGUGCCAAAUGUUUUAAUCACGUCAAAGCACACAGAACAACUUUUAUACUUCACACAUUUUAUUAUACUAUGUAGCAGUAUUUUGGUGUAAAAUAUAUUGUAUACGUUGUUGCGUCCCAGUCUAGGUUGGGCCGCACAAAGUAACCAGCUCAGGAUUCAAGUUGAUUGAUCUUUUAAAGUGUAAGUGAGGGAGCCAGGAGUAACAACAAAACAGGGUUGUUCAAAAAGUUGUAGUGUAUUAUCUCAGACAAUAUAUACAUAUAACUAUACAAAUAACCUAAAUAGGCAUAUCUUCAGGGUGGACCAAAGCCAAAAUAAUUAACAAAAGGAUCCUAUGAUUUAGGUGUCUAGCUGACCUAAAAGGAAAGAAAAGAAAAUAUAAAUAUUCUACCCUAACUACCUAAGCAAGAAACAGAGACAAAAGGGACCAUCUCCCAAAAUAAAUGACAGCCACACCCCUACAGCCACUGAACCAAAAGAGCACGAGCACACACACACACACACACACACACACACAUGUGGAGAGAAUGCACAAACAAUAUAUAUAUAGGGAUAACCAAACUCUGAGUCAAAAACCAGGCAGAAGUCAAAAUACAGAGUUAGCCACAAGGGCAAGCACACAAAUCAAGCAAUCUCCUAACACCACUACCAAACACCUCCAACACCCCACCACGUCUCACUCUGUCUUCCUCUUUAAAAAUGGCCGCCAUUCAUUGAGGUCAUCAAGGAGACGGGAGCAAGACAGACUAUGGCAGGCUUGGAAAAAAGCGUGAAAAGUAAACCGGUAUUUUAUUUUAAAAAAAAUUAAAAAGCAGAAAAAAUAUGUAUUGCUGCAUCAUUAACACUGCCUAUAGGUCAUCAAGAAGAGACUGCUAUAAUUGAGUUAGUCAAGUUUAAUUCAGUAUUUAAAAAAAAAAAAUACAGCUACAAUAUUUUUAAAAAAUCAGGCUGCCCCUUCAUUUUAUUAAAAACAUUUUUAUAGUACUGUGAAUUAAAAUGUUGCACAAAACAAUGAAGACCAAAGAACUUAUUAAAUCCUAGAGUAAUAUAAAAUACAGUAUUAAUAAUCAAAGAUUGUUAAAUUUGUUUACUUAUUGUAUGUUAUUUAUCACUUCAUGCUGCCAUUUAAAGAAUGUGUUUGUUUUAAACAACUGGCAGUUUAAGCUGACAUGACCACUCUGAGUGUAACAUUAAAGCAGGGCUGUCAAACAUGGGACUGGACUGUCCAGUGGGAAAUGACUGGCCCUAUAGAAGUAUUUGUAAUCCAACCUAGCAUAUGAAUUUAGAAACCAUAAUAUUUUAUUGGACAUUUAUUUAUUUUUAAUGAAUUGCAGAGUGCACACAAUGUAGAUUUCCACUAAAUUGGUCAAUAACCAACUUUUUCUGUCCCAUCGAACCAAGUAUAAUCUAUUCUGUAAGAUGUCCCUGAUUUAAAGCAUUAAUUUGUACUCAUGCAAUACUUUUAUUUAUUUCUUUAUUUAUUUUCUCAUUUUUUCUUUAAUGCCAUCACUUUAUUAGGGAUCUAAAUGUCUAUCAAGCUUCUCUGUGACUGUACAAUGAAAUAUCUGACCUUGCUGAGUGACUUUCUUUUAUAUACGUAGCCUGAACUGGAGAACUCUAUAUCUUGGGUGAAUGUAGCUGUUGCUGUAGAAUGAGACAAUCUGAAUAAAAAACAUCUCUUUUAAUACCACAGCACUGUUUGAUUCUGAAUUGUGAUUGGCCACAAUGUGUUGAUUGAUUUUUCUUUAAGAGCAGCUCUGGCAGUAGUGCAGCUGCAAAAUGGUUCAUGUUGUCUAGUUUGGUCUUUUCUGGAAAAAUUGCAAUAUGAUGCCAUAUUGUUACACCCUUAAACACUGUAUAUUACUUAACGUACCUUGUGCUUCUUUUGCUGUUUACUGUUUCAGAAAGUCACUAUAAAGCACAUGUCAGAAUGAUAACAUGGUCGGUACUACUGAGUGUUCAAUACAGAAAACAAUGGGAAUUUAAUGACCACUUGUACAGUGCUGCUAGAAAGUUUGUGAACCCUUUACAAAUUUCUGUAUUUCUGCAUAACUUUUACCAGAAAUGUGAUCAGAUCUUCAUCUAAGACUUAAAACUUGAUAAAGAGAACUCAAUAAAUAAAUGUAAAAACUAUGAUGUUUGUGUCAUUUGUUUAACUGAGCAAAAAA
ensembl:lncRNA